GGUGGCUCAGUGGUAGAGUGCUUGGCUUGCAUGCAUGAGGUCCUGGGUUCAAUUCCUCAGCC
rnacentral:tRNA from 1 species